GUGCCAGCAGCCGCGGUAAUACGUAGGUGGCAAGCGUUGUCCGGAUUUAUUGGGCGUAAAGCGAGCGCAGGCGGUUUCUUAAGUCUGAUGUGAAAGCCUUCGGCUCAACCGAAGAAGUGCAUCGGAAACUGGGAAACUUGAGUGCAGAAGAGGACAGUGGAACUCCAUGUGUAGCGGUGAAAUGCGUAGAUAUAUGGAAGAACACCAGUGGCGAAGGCGGCUGUCUGGUCUGUAACUGACGCUGAGGCUCGAAAGCAUGGGUAGCAAACAGGAUUAGAUACCCUGGUAGUCCAUGCCGUAAACGAUGAGUGCUAGGUGUUGGAGGGUUUCCGCCCUUCAGUGCCGCAGCUAACGCAUUAAGCACUCCGCCUGGGGAGUACGACCGCAAGGUUGAAACUCAAAGGAAUUGACGGGGGCCCGCACAAGCGGUGGAGCAUGUGGUUUAAUUCGAAGCAACGCGAAGAACCUUACCAGGUCUUGACAUCCUUUGACCACUCUAGAGAUAGAGCUUUCCCUUCGGGGACAAAGUGACAGGUGGUGCAUGGUUGUCGUCAGCUCGUGUCGUGAGAUGUUGGGUUAAGUCCCGCAACGAGCGCAACCCUUAUUACUAGUUGCCAGCAUUUAGUUGGGCACUCUAGUGAGACUGCCGGUGACAAACCGGAGGAAGGUGGGGACGACGUCAAAUCAUCAUGCCCCUUAUGACCUGGGCUACACACGUGCUACAAUGGAUGGUACAACGAGUCGCGAGACCGCGAGGUUUAGCUAAUCUCUUAAAACCAUCCUCAGUUCGGAUUGUAGGCUGCAACUCGCCUACAUGAAGCCGGAAUCGCUAGUAAUCGCGGAUCAGCAUGCCGCGGUGAAUACGUUCCCGGGCCUUGUACACACCGCCCGU
rnacentral:rRNA from 1 species